AAUGGCACAGCAAGAGCACAGAGUGGAUUCUUGUCUAGGACCAGUCACUCAUUGUACUAAAAGAUUAACAGAAAAAAAAACAAGUGUGACAUGUAUCACAGCCUGAAGAGUCUCCC